rnacentral:rRNA from 1 species
UACAGAGGUCCCAAGCGUUGUUCGGAUUCACUGGGCGUAAAGGGCUCGUAGGUGGCCAACUAAGUCAGACGUGAAAUCCCCCGGCUUAACCUGGGAACUGCGUCUGAUACUGGACGGCUUGAGUAUGGGAGAGGGAUGUAGAAUUCCAGGUGUAGCGGUGAAAUGCGUAGAUAUCUGGAGGAAUACCGGUGGCGAAGGCGGCAUCCUGGACCAUUACUGACGCUGAGGCGCGAAAGCUAGGGGAGCAAACGGG